rnacentral:rRNA from 1 species
AGUGAACGCUGGCGGUAGGCCUAACACAUGCAAGUCGAACGGCAGCACAGUAAGAGCUUGCUCUUACGGGUGGCGAGUGGCGGACGGGUGAGGAAUACAUCGGAAUCUACUUUUUCGUGGGGGAUAACGUAGGGAAACUUACGCUAAUACCGCAUACGACCUACGGGUGAAAGCAGGGGAUCUUCGGACCUUGCGCGAUUGAAUGAGCCGAUGUCGGAUUAGCUAGUUGGCGGGGUAAAGGCCCACCAAGGCGACGAUCCGUAGCUGGUCUGAGAGGAUGAUCGGCCACACGGGAACUGAGACACGGUCCAGACUCCUACGGGAGGCAGCUGUGGGGAAUAUUGGACAAUGGGCGCAAGCCUGAUCCAGCCAUACCGCGUGGGUGAAGAAGGCCUUCGGGUUGUAAAGCCCUUUUGUUGGGAAAGAAAAGCAGCAGGUUAAUACCCCGCUGUUCUGACGGUACCCAAAGAAUAAGCACCGGCUAACUUCGUG